rnacentral:rRNA from 1 species
AACACGUGAGUAACCUGCCCUUGACUCUGGGAUAAGCCUGGGAAACUGGGUCUAAUACCGGAUAUGACUCCUCAUCGCAUGGUGGGGGGUGGAAAGCUUUUGUGGUUUUGGAUGGACUCGCGGCCUAUCAGCUUGUUGGUGGGGUAAUGGCCUACCAAGGCGACGACGGGUAGCCGGCCUGAGAGGGUGACCGGCCACACUGGGACUGAGACACGGCCCAGACUCCUACGGGAGGCAGCAGUGGGGAAUAUUGCACAAUGGGCGCAAGCCUGAUGCAGCGACGCCGCGUGAGGGAUGACGGCCUUCGGGUUGUAAACCUCUUUCAGUAGGGAAGAAGCCUUUCGGGGUGACGGUACUUGCAGAAGAAGCGCCGGCUAACUACGUGCCAGCAGCCGCGGUAAUACGUAGGGCGCAAGCGUUAUCCGGAAUUAUUGGGCGUAAAGAGCUCGUAGGCGGUUUGUCGCGUCUGCUGUGAAAGACCGGGGCUCAACUCCGGUUCUGCAGUGGGUACGGGCAGACUAGAGUGCAGUAGGGGAGACUGGAAUUCCUGGUGUAGCGGUGAAAUGCGCAGAUAUCAGGAGGAACACCGAUGGCGAAGGCAGGUCUCUGGGCUGUAACUGACGCUGAGGAGCGAAAGCAUGGGGAGCGAACAGGAUUAGAUACCCUGGUAGUCCAUGCCGUAAACGUUGGGCACUAGGUGUGGGGGACAUUCCACGUUUUCCGCGCCGUAGCUAACGCAUUAAGUGCCCCGCCUGGGGAGUACGGCCGCAAGGCUAAAACUCAAAGGAAUUGACGGGGGCCCGCACAAGCGGCGGAGCAUGCGGAUUAAUUCGAUGCAACGCGAAGAACCUUACCAAGGCUUGACAUGGACCGGAAAGACCUGGAAACAGGUGCCCCGCUUGCGGCCGGUUUACAGGUGGUGCAUGGUUGUCGUCAGCUCGUGUCGUGAGAUGUUGGGUUAAGUCCCGCAACGAGCGCAACCCUCGUUCUAUGUUGCCAGCGGUUCGGCCGGGGACUCAUAGGAGACUGCCGGGGUCAACUCGGAGGAAGGUGGGGACGACGUCAAAUCAUCAUGCCCCUUAUGUCUUGGGCUUCACGCAUGCUACAAUGGCCGGUACAAAGGGUUGCGAUACUGUGAGGUGGAGCUAAUCCCAAAAAGCCGGUCUCAGUUCGGAUUGGGGUCUGCAACUCGACCCCAUGAAGUCGGAGUCGCUAGUAAUCGCAGAUCAGCAACGCUGCGGUGAAUACGUUCCCGGGCCUUGUACACACCGCCCGUCAAGUCACGAAAGUUGGUAACACCCGAAGCCGGUGGCCUAACCCUUGUGGGGGGAGCC